rnacentral:rRNA from 1 species
GGACCCGCACAAGCGGUGGAGUAUGUGGUUUAAUUCGAUGCAACACGAAGAACCUUACCAGGGUUUGAAAUCAUUUCAAAACUCCUUGAAAGAGGAGCCUCCUUCGGGAUGAAAUGACAGGUGGUGCAUGGCUGUCGUCAGCUCGUGUCGUGAGAUGUUCGGUUAAGUCCGGCAACGAGCGCAACCCACAUCCCUAGUUGCCAGCAGUUCGGCUGGGCACUCUAUGGAAACUGCCCGUGAUAAGCGGGAGGAAGGUGUGGAUGACGUCAAGUCCUCAUGGCCCUUACGGGUUGGGCUACACACGUGCUACAAUGGUAGUGACAAUGGGUUAAUCCCAAAAAGCUAUCUCAGUUCGGAUUGUCGUCUGCAACUCGACGGCAUGAAGUCGGAAUCGCUAGUAA